rnacentral:lncRNA from 1 species
UUUUUUUUUUUUUUUUUUUUUUUUUUUCCUGCCUUUUAGGGCCACACCUGCGUCGUAUGGAAGUUCCUAGGCUACGGGUCAAAUUGCAGCUGCAGCUGCUGGCCUACACCACAGCCUCAGCAACAUGGGAUCUGAGCUGACCCUGUGGCCUACACAGGAACUCAGGACAAUGCUGGAUCCUUAACCCACUAAGCAAGGCCAGGGAUCAAACCCACAUCUUCAUGAGUACUAGUUGGGUUUGUAAUUCACUGAGCCAUAACAGGAAACCCUAAAAACGCUUUUAUUUCUUUACCCCUUCUCUGCUUUAUGCCUUUUAUUUUUUCUUGUCUUAAUGCAAAGACUAGGGUCUCUAGUACGAUGUUGAAUGUAAGUCAUAAGAGCAAAGAUACUUUCCUUACUUCCUUUCCUUAAUGUAUUCAAUUAAAAGUAUGAAGAUAUUAAAAAUUAGAGUGGCAUCAGAAACUAAGUUCUAGUUCCAUACCUACCAUUUAACUCUUAAUUGAGAUACUAUUUCCCUCUUUAAUGAAUAUCUACAAACAUGAAAAGUGUUUAAUACCAAAUUAAAAACCUAUUUAUUAUAGUAUGAAAUAAAGUAUAAGAUUUCUUUGGAUUUAUAUGAAUGAAAUAGAAAAAUGCCUAAAACUUAAUUAAACUUCCUGAUCCAUAGACAUUUAGGGGUAUAUCCAUAUAGUUAUAUACCUGUUAAUCAACAGUACUUGAAUCUUAUUGCUUAGUCUCAUAUUGGGUACACAUUAAGUAUUCAGAUAAUUAUAAAUUCAAAGUUAAAAUAAGCUACACAAAUAUAUUGUACGGCACAAGCACCAUAGUCAAUAUUUUAUAAUAACUUAAAAAUGGACUAUAAUCUUUAAAAAUUAUGAGGAAUUCCCAUCAUGGCUCAGUGGUGAUUAACCCAACUAGGAUCCAUGAGGACUUAGGUUAGUGGCCCUUGCCUUCUAAGAUUUCUGUUGGUGGGUGACAAAUAAGAUACAUAUCACAUUAUACAUUAUAACAUUAAUUUUAUGGCUUUGAAAUUAACUUUUUGUGGGUUUAAAUUUUGAAAAUUAAUUCAUUCGGUCUGAAUGCCUUUGGGUAAAUACAAUUAAAAUUUUCUUAAAUUUUGGACUUUCCACUGUGGCUGAAUCAAGGCCAGGGAUUGAACCUGCUUCCUCAUGGAUGCCAGUCAGAUUCAUUUCUGCUGAUCCAUGACGGGAACUCCUGGAUGAGAAUAUUUAAGUUCUACUCUCUUAGCAAAUUUUUGGGAAGUUCCUUUAUAACUGUAAAUUGUGGAGAGAGCACAGACUCAGAGAAAAUGAGACUUCCCUCGUGGGUCUGCUUUCUCUUCUCCAACCUCUAUUCUUCAGUUUGCCUUGGGUGUGAGACUUGAAAACAAAGAAUCUCCAGGUGGGAACUUCUAGAUCUCAGGGCAGUGACCACUCAAGGUCUCUCCAACAGCCAACACGGAGCAGAUGGAAGUGAAGGAAACUGUAUUGCUGUGUGUUUAGGAGGAAAAAGGACCCCGAGUUAUUGGAGUGGAUGGAUUCCAGAAAUUCCUUGAUAGCCUCAGAAGAUUAUAGAAAAUCAGGGAGGAUGAAAAGCUAGAGCUGCAGCGUGGACCCACAAAACAGCUUUAGCCACACGUAAGGAAAUCUACAGGGCUCAUGAGGGGAAGACUGGCCAACAGUGAGACGUGGUUGAUGUCUUUGGAGGCAGUUCGCCCAGGCUGAAAAAGCAAUUCACAAUUUAUAUCAGUCAUGGACACAUCAGCAUUAGAGGCAGAUGCCCAAAGACAGACUGGACAUGACAUUCAUUCAGGGGACAGCAUUUGAACCUGUGAUAAUCCAAUGCUAUGAGAAUAUUAGCUUUUCUCUGUAACCAGGCACCGUCUUGGGAGGAAGCAGGGAUGAGAGAUCUCCUUGAUGGGGAAGAAAGCCUGGGAGAGAGAUUAAACUUUGACCUGCCCCAAUAUAUCCAAAAGAGAAUGAAUUCCCUUUAGUUAGAAAGUUUAAAUCAUUUCUCUAAGCCUAUCAUCAGGAAAAAAGGCACUCAGGAACAAAACAGAGUAUGUUUUAGACAAUAAAGAAAUGAACUUUUUUUUUUCUUUCCCACUUUGGGAGUAUGAGGUGUGAGUUCUUAUCCUAUUCCCCCUGUACAGAUAAAAAUAAUGAUUUUUCAGGACAGAAAAUUUGCUUCAUGCCUCUGUAUGUGUCUGAGCCUUUCAGUGAUAGUAUUAAGCUGAACGCUUGACUUCCUGGCAAAUACAUGUACUGUGCCCCACCUCUUAGCUCUAUAUUAUCAAAUCUGGAGUUAGAAACUGAGAAAACUUUGAAAUUUGACUCUACUUCCAUGAAAAAUUUAUUUUGUGUACCAAAAUGAAUUAAUUACCAUCUGAAUUUUUGAACAGUUAAACACGUUCGUUACAAAAACGUAAUCUGUUACUGAAACAAAAUUUUUAAAGUGAAUACGCACUGGGAUUUAUAUGGCUGUAAUUUAGAUGGUCAGCCUGAGAUGAUCCAAUUGUACCUGCCAACAGCAGGGAAAAAUAAAAGACUAGUAAGUUUAGGGAUAAUAUUCUUGAAAGGCUGUAUUGUCUAUCUAGAAAGGAGAAUUGUUUUCUCUUGAUUGCAACAGCAUCUUGCUUCCCCUGAUGCUAAGUGAGUCUGUAUCAAGAGCUUCUAUACUUUGAAUGUGGGGGUUUUCAUCUGAGUCUCAAACUUUCCUCAAUACCCAUACCAAUUUUAGUUUCAAUAUUUCAAAAGAAAUUAGAUAACAUAUCACUUAUCUCUGGAAUAUAAUAUAUGGCACAGAUGAACCUUUCCACAGAAAAGAAACUCAUGGACUUGGGGAACAGACUUGUGGUUGCCAGUGGGGAGAGGGAGGGAAUGGGAUGGACUGGGAGUUUGGGGUUAAUAGAUGCAAACUAUUGCAUUUGGACUGGGUAAGCAAUGAGAUCCUGCUGUAUAGCACAGGAAAUAUAUCUAGUCACUUGUGAUGGAACAUGAUGGAGGAUAAUGUGAGAAAAAGAAUAUGUAUAUAUAUGUAUGACUGGGUCACUUUGCUGUACAGUAGAAAUUGACAGAACACUGUAAACCAAUUAUAAUGGAAAAAAUAAAAAUCAUUAAAAAAUAAAUUAGAGAGCAUGUAGACAAGACUAAUUCAGAUGUACUACUCAUUCUUAAAGUUUAGAACAUGCAUCUGAUGGACUUAGGUUUAAAAGUAAGGAUGAAUCUCUUGCCUCUUGACAAUCACUGACCUAUAGCAAUGAUUCUUAAAUUGCUGUCACUAGACCAGCAGCUUCACGUGAGACACUGCUAUGGGAAUUUAUUAAAAUUCUCAAGCUCUUCUCUAGGACCACUGAAUCAGAAACUCUGGAGGUGAGGUUUGCAUUUUACAAGACUUCCAGGUGAUUCCAAUGCAUGUUAAAGGUUGAAAAGCAUUAAUCUAUAGAAUACUGCUAAAGAAAGAUCAUUUUUCCUGAAACCCUUUACAAAUGAGCCACUACAUAUAGAAAUUUCUGCUUUGGCAGAAAUCUUUCCAAGAGUAGUUGGACCAAGAGUCUAUUUAGUAUUAUUUUAUCUACAUGUAUUAAAAUGUUUAAUUAUAAAUUUCUCAGAAUGAUAUACAUAGUGGUAGUUUCAGUUUGAUACUUUUGACUGUAAACAUACAUGAUAUACAAAAAUAGGGAAAGUCAAUAUAUGAAAGUAUUUAGAACAGUGCUAAGAACUGAGCCUAGCCAUUUGCUGAAUGCUAUAAAAAUGACAACACUUGAGAAUCUCUUAUGUGUAGGUAACAUGCUAGCCAGUUUUAUAUCCAUUAUAUUGUAUAAAUAUUUAAUCUUUAUAACAAAUAUAAAAUAUUUUCCCAAAUGCCAGCCAAUUAGCAGGUGAUAAGUCAGAUGUAAAUGAUAAGUCUGUUCUUCAACUAUAGCCUUACCUGCCUGGGUUAAUUUACUUAAGGGCUACUAUUCAAGCUAGAGAUUAAUUAAUGACUAUAAUAGGAUAUUGUCUUGAAAUACUAGUUUCUUAGUAAUAAUCACUGUGCAGAUAAUAGCAUGUAUUUUAUUAAUAUGGCUAUACAUUGGGAUAAAGCCUUUGUUAAGGAGGCCCAUCAGCAGCAGCCUUAUUACUUAUGAUGAGCUUAAAUAUCUCUUCCAUCAUUUAUCUUUGGUAUUAAAUCCUCUAUAAUGUGAGCCCUUUAGUGCUAUUCCUUUUCCCAUGACUCUAUUUUAUAUAUCACUACUUAAAGAAUAGUCCUCAUAACUAGACCAAAAGAAGAACAUGAAACAAGGAUGGCAUUUAAGUCAGUAAUUUUCUAGAUCAAAAUUUUAUUACAUGAUUAAAAAAAGAGUCUUUCCUCUGAAAACUUACAUUCUAUACUACAUUACAGCUAUCUCAAACAUUUGUUUUAUAAAGAGUAGUGAUAAAAUAAGCUGGAAAAAUAUCUUAUCAUGCUGUUAUUUGUUAUUCCACUCUGUAUAAAUACAGAUUCAACAUCAAUGAAAUGAAAUCCAAUUACCCAUAACAAUUAGGCAUAACUAGCAAUAUCUUGAGGGGUGAUGUUAUAGGUGGAAGUAGGGAGAAGACAUUUAGGAAACUGGAAUUCAGUAAAAAGCUAUACAUUUUUAGUUUAUGGCCUCAGAGAUCAAGAGAGCAUUGCUAUUACUCAAUCAAACCAUCAGGAGAUCAUAAGACUCUGGGGUCAGGUUAGACUAUGGCUUUCUUCCAAAGCUGCACUAAACCUAGAGCAGGUAGACCUGUUUACACUCUAGAUUACCAGUUUACUACAAAGGCUAUGAAUAAUCACAUGAAGAGAUACUUUUGGUGAGGUCCCCCCCAAAAAAGGAGCUUCCGUCUUCAUGGAUCUUUGGGUCUGGCAAGAUAGAUUGUUUCCCAACCUGGAAGCUCUCUGAAUCCCCUCCUUUUGGGUUUUUAUGGAGACUUCUUUACAGGAAUCUAAGCCAAUGGUGGGAGUGGGGUUAGAGACCUGAGCUACCAGGGACAGAUCUCUUGAUAUUUAAAAUUUUUAAUGUUGUGACAAUAUGAUUUAAAGAUGGGGCAAUGUGGGAAGAAAGACUGGUUGUCAAUAAUAAUAUUAUGAAAAGAGUUGCUUUUGACUUUUCUUUUGUUAAUGUGGUGCAUGACGUUGAUUGCUCUGCAUAUGUUGAACCAUCCUUGUGAACUUGGGAUGAAUCCCACCUGGUUGUGGUGUACAAUCUUUUUUAUAUGUUGUUGGAUUCGGCUGGCUAAAAUUUUGUUGAGAAUUUUUGUGUCUAUAUUCAUCAAAGAUCACUUGAUCAUCUCAGUAGAUGCAGAGAAAACAUUUGACAAAAUCCAACAUCCAUUCAUGAGAAAAACUCUUACCAAAGUGGGNCCUUCCCACUAAAAUCUGAAGCAAGAGAAGAAUGCCCACUCUCACCACUGUUAUUCAACAUAGUACUGGAAUGCUAGCCACAGCAAUCAGACAAACAAAAUAAAUCAAAGGCAUCCAAAUAGGAAGACAAGAGGUAAAACUGUCACUGUAUGCAGAUGAUAUGAUACUAUAUAUAGAAAACCCCAAGGACUCAACCCCAAAACUACUUGAACUGAUCAACAAAUUCAGCAAAGUGGCAGGAUAUAAGAUUAACUGAUUCAGAAAUCAGUUGCAUUUCUGUAUACUAACAAUGAAAUAGUAGAAAAGGAAUACAAAAAUACAAUACCUUUUAAAAUUGCACCACCAAAAAUAAAAAAAUAAAAAAAAA